rnacentral:pre_miRNA from 1 species
GAUCGUUGGAUGAGUGUGAGGCGUUGGAUUGAUUUAACUUAAUCCGAGCCCUACAUUCAUCAGAGGCUCGU